rnacentral:lncRNA from 1 species
CUCCGAGAAUCAUUGCUUAUUUAUAGGCAACAAUCAACCUUAGUGUGAACAGGUGAACAGGAGGCAGCCGCAACUUUUCCUUGCUUGUUCAAGUUUGGUUCUUUUUUCAAAUAUGGUGGCCACCGAUCAGGGAGGAAAGUACUAUAAAAAUGAUGGCCUAUUCUCUUGCACGCUUUCCCAGAAUUUCCGCGUGUGCAAGUGGAGUCUUCUUCUUCACGGUUGCGGCUUCUCUUAGAAUUUUCACGUCCCCCAUUUAAUGCGUGCAUGUGCAGGCAUUAAUGAGGGAGAGACAAUGGACGUGAAGCACUCUUCUUUCUUCUAUUUUCCUGACUUUCAUCGUGUGUUUUCAUACCAGCAAGAGAGACACCACCUUCCGCACAUCUCAUUGAUCGAGGGCCCCUACCACGUCCGUGGAAUUAAUGCAUGCAUUAAUGAGAGAGAGACAAUGGACGUGCAGGAAUUCUUCU